rnacentral:rRNA from 1 species
UACGGAGGGUGCGAGCGUUGUCCGGAAUCACUGGGCGUAAAGGGCGCGUAGGCGGCCUGAUAAGUAGGGGGUGAAAUCCUGCGGCUUAACCGCAGGGCUGCCUUCUAAACUGUCAGGCUGGAGCGCAGUAGAGGCAGGUGGAAUUCCCGGUGUAGCGGUGGAAUGCGUAGAGAUCGGGAAGAACAUCAGUGGCGAAGGCGGCCUGCUGGGCUGUUGCUGACGCUGAGGCGCGACAGCGUGGGGAGCAAACAGG